rnacentral:misc_RNA from 1 species
UACGAGUGCCUCAAGCGUUAUCCGGAAUUAUUGGGCGUAAAGGGUGUGUAGGUUGUUUUGUUAGUCUCUUGUAAAAUCUUCCGGCUUAACCGGAAACGCGCGAGAGAAACGGCAAAACUAGAGGAUGUGAGAGGUGUACGGAACUCAUGGUGUAGGGGUGAAAUCCGUUGAUAUCAUGGGGAACACCAAAUGCGAAGGCAGUACACUGGCGCAUUCCUGACACUGAGACACGAAAGCGUGGGUAGCGAACGGG